GAUUUGAGCUCAGUGGUCAGAUAAAACUAGAAUCACCAAGCAUAUGAUCAUAUCAAACACCCAAAUUUCGACCAUUCCUGCAUUUCAUCAACAAAAUCUCUGUACCUCCUAGACCGCCAUGGCCAUGGCGUCGUGGUUCUCUCGCCUCCGCCGUUCCUCACAGCGCUUCUUCUUCACCUCCUCCGCCCUCCGAACCUCCAUGUCCACCAAGCUGGCGAGAACCCAAAAUACAACGAACUCCGAGAGCCCGAAAACCCCAUUUCUCUUGUGGUCGAGCUCGCUGCUUCCGGUCGCACUCGCAGUCUCAGCCGGAUCGCUUGCCCUCCGCCCCCAAUUGGACCCAUCACUCUGUGAAGCCCCCAGUGCAAAUUCUCGCAACGAGUUUGUUGUUAAAGGGCUGUGCAAGGAAGUCCCACAAGAGCUUGUUGAUGAAUUGAAGGAUGUUUGUCAAGAUAACAUGACAAUGGAUUAUGAGGAGAGGUAUAACCAUGGAAAACCGCAGAACAGCUUUCACAAAGCGGUUAAUAUUCCCGACAUCGUUGUGUUUCCGGGGUCUGAAGAGCAAGUUUCUAUGAUAGUCAAGUCAUGCGACAAGCAUAAGGUUCCAAUUGUACCAUAUGGCGGAGCUACAUCCAUUGAGGGUCACACCUUGUCUCCCAAUGGAGGUGUUUGCAUUGACAUGUCAUUAAUGAAUCAUGUUAAAGCAUUACAUAUUGAGGACAUGGAUGUUGUUGUUGAGCCUGGGAUUGGAUGGAUGGAGCUUAAUGAAUACCUGGCUCCUUAUGGUCUAUUUUUUCCCCUGGAUCCAGGGCCUGGUGCAACAAUUGGAGGAAUGUGCGCGACACGUUGCUCUGGUUCCUUAGCUGUUAGGUAUGGAACCAUGCGUGAUAAUGUCAUCAGUCUCAAGGUAGUUCUUGCAAAUGGAGAUAUUGUUAAGACUGCAUCUCGUGCUAGAAAGAGUGCUGCAGGGUAUGAUUUGACCCGCCUGGUGAUUGGAAGUGAAGGAACACUUGGUGUAAUAACGGAAGUCACUCUACGCCUUCAGAAAAUUCCGCAAUACUCAGUGGUUGCUAUGUGUAAUUUCCCUUCAAUUAAGGAUGCAGCAGAUGUUGCUAUUGCUACUAUGCUGUCGGGCAUUCAGGUUUCACGGGUUGAACUACUGGAUGAGGUUCAAGUGAGGGCAAUCAACAUUGCGAAUGGGAAGAAUUUUCUUGAAACUCCAACUUUAAUGUUCGAAUUUAUAGGCACAGAGGCAUAUUCCCGUGAGCAAACCCAUAUAGUUCAACAGAUUGUUUCUGAACACAAUGGCUCAGACUUUGUUUUUGCGGAAGACCCUGAAGCUAAAAAGGAACUCUGGAAGAUAAGGAAGGAGGCACUCUGGGCAUGCUUUGCAAUGGAGCCUAAUUUUGAGGCAAUGAUUUCGGAUGUAUGUGUUCCUUUAUCAUGUCUUGCAGAAUUGAUAUCAAGGUCCAAAGAACAGCUGGAUGCAUCAGAACUUGUUUGCACAGUUAUUGCUCAUGCUGGUGACGGGAACUUCCAUACAGUGAUUCUAUUUGACCCUAACAAUGAAGAACAUCGACGAGAAGCAGAGAGACUGAACCAUUUUAUGGUCCAUACUGCCUUGUCAAUGGAAGGAACAUGUACCGGUGAACAUGGCGUUGGUACAGGAAAAAUGAAGGUACUUAAUUUUCUGUUGACUUGCUAGCCGUUUAAGUUUCUGGCCAAUGUUAUGGAAGGCAUAUGUCGGCACGGAUAGUUAAAUCAGAAGCGUAAAUACUAUAUAGUGAAAGUUAUAAAUAAACUAGAUGGACUUUGGGCGUUACGAUAUCUUGAGCAAGAACUGGGAAUGGAGGCUUUGAAGACAAUGAAAAGAAUAAAAGCAGCAUUAGAUCCCAACAACACUAUGAAUCCAGGAAAGCUAAUUCCUGCUCAUGUUUGUUUUUAAGAGCUUCACUCUAUUUGCGCAAGCACAUGCACAUCUGCACUCCCUAUGCCUACCAUCUUCCUUCCCGUCGCUGUCGGAAUUGAGAAAUCAAGCUGAAAUCAUUUCGUAUGAUUCUCUUACGUUCUUAUAAUCUUAAAUGGUACCCCAUGCAUAAAAGGAUUGAGGUGAAAACCUGUCUGCUAAGCUUUGUUAAUAUUAAAUAUUUCUCUUAGUGUUGCUUGUUUGCCUUGGAAGCAUUGAUGUGGGAGGCAGGCCUUCGAGAAAACGAUUUGAAAACCAAUAACAUGCAUUGGAAUAUUAAGUGCUGUGUGUUUUAAUGACAUCGGAAUUUGUUAAGUCAAUUUAGAUUA